CAGUCCCCGGCCUGAGCGAGGCCUGGGGCCAAGUGCAUCCAGGGCGGAGGGUGGCGGGAAGCUGUCUGUGCCUGAGGAGUCACUUUUUAGGCGCUUGUUUUGGAGCAUUGCACAAACGCGGGUGCAAACCCCAAGCUCACCAGCGUGAGUCAGCGGGGCCCGCAGCAGCAGGAGAGGGAAAGGUGGGCGAGGAGGGCGCCGCGCACCCCGAGGCCCGCGUGGGCGGCGGGAAGAACCUGGUGGCGACAGGGGACACCCCUAGCGGCGGUCCCUUCCCCAGCCCUACAGGUGAGCGCGGACCCGCCACGGGGCGGAGCGCGCUGUCCCCACCGGCCACUCUCCCGGCGCCACCACCACCGCGCAGAUUAAAUCUGGGUGCCGGCACCCAGCCACCUCCUCUGCCAAUGAAGUACAUUCUGGUCACUGGAGGGGUCAUCUCAGGCAUUGGUAAAGGGAUCAUUGCAAGCAGCAUUGGGACGAUUCUAAAAUCAUGUGGACUCCGAGUUACUGCCAUCAAAAUUGACCCCUAUAUUAACAUCGAUGCGGGCACUUUUUCACCUUACGAGCACGGUGAGGUGUUUGUCUUAAAUGAUGGUGGAGAAGUUGAUUUAGACCUUGGAAAUUAUGAACGGUUCUUGGAUAUCAACCUUUAUAAAGACAACAACAUCACCACUGGGAAGAUAUAUCAGCAUGUGAUCAAUAAAGAGAGGCGUGGCGAUUACCUGGGGAAAACAGUACAAGUUGUCCCUCACAUUACUGAUGCUGUCCAGGAAUGGGUUAUGAAUCAAGCUAUGGUGCCCGUGGACGGUCAUAAGGAAGAGCCCCAAAUAUGCGUUAUUGAGUUGGGUGGCACCAUUGGAGACAUUGAAGGGAUGCCGUUUGUGGAAGCAUUCAGACAAUUCCAGUUUAAAGCAAAAAAAGAGAAUUUCUGUAACAUCCAUGUUAGCCUUGUCCCACAGCCCAGUGCUACCGGAGAACAAAAAACCAAACCCACACAAAACAGUGUCCGUGCGCUGAGGGGCUUAGGCCUGUCUCCUGAUCUGAUUGUCUGCCGAAGUUCAACGCCCAUCGAGAUGGCUGUGAAGGAAAAGAUUUCUAUGUUUUGUCACGUGAACCCCGAGCAGGUCAUAUGUAUCCAUGAUGUUUCGUCCACAUAUCGAGUGCCUGUGCUUUUGGAGGAACAAGGCAUUGUUAAAUAUUUUAAAGAGAGAUUGGAUCUGCCCAUUGGUGAUUCUGCAAGUAAUUUGCUUUUCAAGUGGAGAAAUAUGGCUGACAGGUAUGAAAGGCUGCAGAAAACGUGCUCCAUAGCCUUGGUUGGCAAAUAUACCAAGCUCAGGGACUGCUACGCCUCCGUGUUCAAAGCCCUGGAACAUUCAGCCUUGGCCAUCAACCACAAGUUGAAUCUGAUGUACAUAGACUCCAUUGAUCUGGAGCAGACCACCGAAACUGAGGACCCUGUGAAAUUCCACGAAGCUUGGCAGAAGCUAUGCAAAGCUGAUGGCGUUCUUGUGCCGGGAGGCUUUGGAAUCCGAGGAACAUUGGGAAAACUCCAGGCCAUUUCUUGGGCACGGGCAAAGAAGAUCCCUUUCCUGGGAGUUUGCCUCGGGAUGCAACUAGCAGUGAUAGAGUUUGCAAGAAACUGCCUUAACUUGAAAGAUGCUGAUUCCACAGAAUUUGAGCCAAAUGCCCAUGUUCCUGUGGUGAUUGAUAUGCCUGAACACAACCCCGGCAAUUUGGGAGGAACGAUGAGGCUGGGAAUCCGAAGAACUGUUUUCAAAACAGAAAAUUCAAUAUUAAGGAAACUUUAUGGUGAUGUUCCUUUUAUAGAAGAAAGACACAGACAUCGGUAUGAGGUGAACCCAAGCCUGAUCAGUCAGUUGGAGAAGAAUGACUUACGUUUUGUAGGUCAGGAUGUUGAUGGAGAGAGGAUGGAAAUCAUUGAACUGGCAAAUCACCCCUAUUUUGUUGGUGUCCAAUUCCAUCCUGAGUUUUCUUCUAGGCCGAUGAAGCCUUCCCCUCCGUACCUGGGCCUAUUACUUGCUGCAACCGGGAGCCUGCAUGCCUACUUGCAACAGGGAUGCAAGCUGUCUUCGAGACAAGCUGUUGUCCUGCUGGAGAAGGGAGCGUUAUAGGACUUGCCUUGCAGGAUUUUACGCUCGUGGGAUGCUCCUAUUUGCCUAGCCUAGGGAGCAUCCCCCGGCAUAGUUAGGACAGACCUGACAGCUGAUCGUGCUUUUGAGAAACUGGAAUGCAUCAGACAAAGCUCGCAGUUAGCAUGGGGAAAAUGGAAUGCCCCUGAGGCCAGGAAUAAAUAUGCUCUCAAGUAACUGAAGGCGGGAUGAAGAACCAUCUGAGGAAAUCACCACACUCUUAAAGAAUCACUCUAUUUUCCACUAAACAUGGAUGUAAAGCCUCGAAGGGGAUCUAAUAAUUGAUCAACCAGAACCAAAGGGCUACUUUUUUUUUCAGUCCGGAGAUGGCCUUUGGUUCUCACAAAUUUCUGUAGCUGAUUAAACUUUUCCCGGCAACCUCA